GUACUUGGUCAGCAAGAUCCAUGGAUGCACUGGGCUAUACUCACGUAGUAACAAAUUUUGCUCAGUAAUACAGUGUAUCUUGAUUGUGUCAUUUCCAGAAGGUAGGGUGUGUCCUGAUCUGCCAAAGGAAUCAUCUCUCUGUGCCUUGGACUGCCUUUUGUGGGAGGAGGCUUUGCUGGAGAUAUUCAAGCAUUAUUGACUACAAUAAACCAACAUGCAGUAACACCUUGGAAGUACACAGAGUACAGAGGCAAAAGCAAGAAAUACUCAUGAAUCCAGAUGAAGGCAGGAUAUUAAUUUCCUUUAAUACAAGAAGGAAACAACCCAACAAGUGAUGCAGAGGCGAUCCCUCUCCACCUGCCACUAGCAGACCAAUUCACCACCAGCUGCAUGAGGAAAUAAAAGCUCUCCAGGUGAUACCCUCACUGUGCUCCUGGGUCCUGACAGAGUUGAGCACCAAACUGCUUGGUGCUUGCAAGAGAGUGGAGAUUCUGGACUUUCCCACCAGCAAAACAGUCAUUCCUACCUGUCCAUUCACAUGAACAGACAACUGACAGUCUGACCAGAAACGGAGAGACAAGACUAUAUUAGAUUUCAGAAAUUGAAUUUGGAUGAACACAGAUUUUGGAAAGCUGUGUAUUUAAUACAAUUUUCAGACUGUCUGACUGUGAGCCAGUGACAUUGUGUCUGUGCACAGUACACAGAAAGUUGAACAGGACUCUGUAGCCAAAUAAUUUGAUUCACCUUCAUAGUCUAAGAAAAGACAUAUGCAAAUUGUUAAGACAGACUCCUCUUGUGUGCAGCCUGAAGGGGACUGUGUGUGCAUCAUGAAAGGACCUACAGAAGGUCUAUCCUUUUCCUGAUAGCCAGUGGUGGAGUUCAGCACUUGACAUCAGUGGAAAGAAAACAUCAGCGAGGGCCCCCACAGAGCCAAGGCUGGCUGUUGACAAAGACAUCUCAGGUCCCCACAAGCCUGGGCUGGAAACCUUAAGAUGGAAUGGUCGUAUACUAGAUAUCUGCAGAGCAGCUGGAACAUACACUGUAGGAAUAAAAUUGGAUCUCUCUUAAUUUAAAAAAA